GGAUGUGAGGGCGAUCUGGCUGCAACAGCUGUCACACCCAUUGAUCACCAGAGUUGAUUCGGCUGAUCUGGCUGGCUAGGCGGGUGUCCCCUUCCUCCCUCACUGCUCCACGUGUGUCCCUCCUGAGGCUGCGUACUCGGUCAAAGAGGAUGACCAUCCCCGAGAGAGGAGGACCGGUCUUCCAUCAAGGGUACACAAGUAGCUGCACUCCCCUGCUAGAACCUCCAAACAAACUCUCAAGGUGCAAAGUGCAUUUCAGCUCAAAUAGUCAAGGCACUCUUUCAACAAUAGCGAAUCAGUU
rfam:Pongo abelii chromosome 7.